rnacentral:rRNA from 1 species
UAGGGAAUCUUCCACAAUGGACGCAAGUCUGAUGGAGCAACGCCGCGUGAGUGAAGAAGGUUUUCGGAUCGUAAAGCUCUGUUGUUGGUGAAGAAGGAUAGAGGCAGUAACUGGUCUUUAUUUGACGGUAAUCAACCAGAAAGUCACGGCUAACUACUUGCCAGCAGCCGCGGUAAUACGUAGGUGGCAAGCGUUGUCCGGAUUUAUUGGGCGUAAAGCGAGCGCAGGCGGAAUGAUAAGUCUGAUGUGAAAGCCCACGGCUCAACCGUGGAACUGCAUCGGAAACUGUCAUGAUUGAGUGCAGAAGAGGAGAGUGGAAUUCCAUGUGUAGCGGUGGAAUGCGUAGAUAUAUGGAAGAACACCAGUGGCGAAGGCGGCUCUCUGGUCUGCAACUGACGCUGAGGCUCGAAAGCAUGGGUAGCGAACAGG